UGCAAGUCGAACGAUGAUCCCCAGCUUGCUGGGGGGAUUAGUGGCGAACGGGUGAGUAACACGUGAGUAACCUGCCCUUAACUCUGGGAUAAGCCUGGGAAACUGGGUCUAAUACCGGAUAUGACUGAUCAUCGCAUGGUGGUUGGUGGAAAGCUUUUUGUGGUUUUGGAUGGACUCGCGGCCUAUCAGCUUGUUGGUGAGGUAAUGGCUUACCAAGGCGACGACGGGUAGCCGGCCUGAGAGGGUGACCGGCCACACUGGGACUGAGACACGGCCCAAACUCCUACGGGAGGCAGCAGUGGGGAAUAUUGCACAAUGGGCGCAAGCCUGAUGCAGCGACGCCGCGUGAGGGAUGACGGCCUUCGGGUUGUAAACCUCUUUCAGUAGGGAAGAAGCGAAAGUGACGGUACCUGCAGAAGAAGCGCCGGCUAACUACGUGCCAGCAGCCGCGGUAAUACGUAGGGCGCAAGCGUUAUCCGGAAUUAUUGGGCGUAAAGAGCUCGUAGGCGGUUUGUCGCGUCUGCCGUGAAAGUCCGGGGCUCAACUCCGGAUCUGCGGUGGGUACGGGCAGACUAGAGUGAUGUAGGGGAGACUGGAAUUCCUGGUGUAGCGGUGAAAUGCGCAGAUAUCAGGAGGAACACCGAUGGCGAAGGCAGGUCUCUGGGCAUUAACUGACGCUGAGGAGCGAAAGCAUGGGGAGCGAACAGGAUUAGAUACCCUGGUAGUCCAUGCCGUAAACGUUGGGCACUAGGUGUGGGGGACAUUCCACGUUUUCCGCGCCGUAGCUAACGCAUUAAGUGCCCCGCCUGGGGAGUACGGCCGCAAGGCUAAAACUCAAAGGAAUUGACGGGGGCCCGCACAAGCGGCGGAGCAUGCGGAUUAAUUCGAUGCAACGCGAAGAACCUUACCAAGGCUUGACAUGAACC
rnacentral:rRNA from 2 species